rnacentral:tRNA from 5 species
CGCGGAGUAGAGCAGUUGGUAGCUCGUCGGGCUCAUAACCCGGAGGUCGCAGGUUCGAGUCCUGUCUCCGCAACCA